GACGAACGCUGGCGGCGUGCUUAACACAUGCAAGUGGAGCGACGAACCAGGCUUCGGCCUGGGGCAGAGCCGCGAACGGGUGAGUAACACGUGGGUAACCUGCCCUGAUGAUUGGGACAACCCGAGGAAACUCGGGCUAAUACCAAAUGUGCCCUCCGGCCGUAAGGCCUCUGGGGAAAGGAAGCUUCGGCCUCCGCAUCGGGAUGGGCCCGCGGCCCAUUAGCUUGUUGGUGAGGUAACGGCNCACCAAGGCUACGAUGGGGUAGCUGGUCUGAGAGGACGGAUCAGCCACACUGGGACGUGAGACACGGCCCGACG
rnacentral:rRNA from 1 species